rnacentral:lncRNA from 1 species
AUGUCUCCUUGUGUACGACCGACAAACCUUACUGGACCUAAGAGACGGACUUUCUCAUCACUUUCCGGAGUUCAAGUUUUGCAACACGGACCCUCCGUUUGCAGACCCCCAUUCAUCUCACCUGAGGCGCCUUUGUUCUCUGGCCCUGGAGGCCGCAAACGCCGACGCAGAGGGAGAAGAUCUGGCGUUCUGGUUCGACUGAGACGGCGCACUAACAGACCACUGCUACCCAGUUUAUUACUGGCUAAUGUGCAGUCUCUGGACAACAAGCUGUGCGAGCUUCGGGCACGGAUCUCAUUCCAGCGAGAGAUGCGGGACUGCUGCGUGAUCUGCCUCACAGAAACCUGGCUAUCGGACAAGGUACCGGACUCUGCAAUACAACUACCGGGGUUCUCUGUGCACCACGCGGACACGUCACAGGAUCUUACUGGGAAAAGCAGAGGCAGUGGUGUGUGUUUCAUGAUCAACAACAGCUGGUGUGAUUAUGCGAAUGUGCAUCCGGUCAAAUCCUUCUACUCACCGGACCUGGAGUACCUGAUGAUUAAGUGCCGGCCAUUCUGGCUACCGAGGGAAUUUACAGCAGUGAUUAUUACGGCUGUUUACAUUCCCCCACAAGCCGACACUGACCGAGCACUCAGGGAACUGUACAGCGCGAUCAGCAGUGAGGAAACCGCAUAUCCAGAGGCGGUGUCUAUCAUGACCGGGGACUUUAACAAAGGAAACCUGAAGAAAGUUUCACCAAAACUCCACCAACACAUCAAUUUCAACACUCGUGGAGACCGGCUAUUUGACCACUGCUACACUUCCUUCCGGGAUGUGUACAAAGCCCUCCUCCAUGCCCCAUUCGGCCAAUCAGAUUACCGCUCCAUCCUGCCCCUGCCCGCCUACAGGCAGAAGCUGAAACAAGAAGCUCCAACCCUGAGGGCGGUGCACCGUAGGUCGGACCAAUCGGAGUCUACGCUGUGGGACUGUUUUGAUCACGCGGAACGGGAAAUGUUUCACGUGGCUACUAAUGACAUUGAUGAGUACACAGACUCAGUCUGCGGAUUUAUCAGGAAAUGUGUGGAAGAUGUCGUCCCAUCCAGAACAGUUAAAUCCUUCCCAAAUCAAAAACCCGGGAUUAACAGAGAUAUUUGCACGGCACUGGUGAACACCACUUUUGCCUCCACGAACACAUUGGACUACAAACACGCACAUUGCCAACUCCGGAAGACGAUCAAAGUAGCCAAACGUGAAUACAGGGACAGGGUGGAACAACAGUUUGACAACGCUCGGAGUAUGUGGUAG